UAUAUAGCUUCUACUCGGCUCUUUCUUCGGGGGAAGCCAGCUACAAAGUCAUGAGGGCACUCAAGUAGACAGUGGAAAAACUCAUGUGAAAAGGGACCAAGGCCUCCUGACAACAGUCAGCACCAACUUGCAGCCAUGAAUGGCAUGUGGAAUUUGAUUCAAAAUAAUCUAGAAGGAGCAAGUAGAGCAAGUACAAACAAAAGACUACUGUCUACGAGGUGAUAACUGUUCAAGCUGAGAUAUGGAUACAUGGAAUAAUCUGGAUAACAUAAAAUGUGGAGUGCUCUGUUGCAGGAAGCAUAUUUUCAUUCAGCA
rnacentral:lncRNA from 1 species